CCUACGGGGUGCUGCAGUGGGGAAUAUUGGACAAUGGGCGAAAGCCUGAUCCAGCCAUGCCGCGUGUGUGAAGAAGGCCUUCGGGUUGUAAAGCACUUUCAGUGGGGAAGAAAGCCUUGGGGCUAAUACCCUCGAGGAAGGACAUCACCCACAGAAGAAGCACCGGCUAACUCCGUGCCAGCAGCCGCGGUAAUACGGAGGGUGCGAGCGUUAAUCGGAAUUACUGGGCGUAAAGCGCGCGUAGGCGGUCUGAUAAGCCGGUUGUGAAAGCCCCGGGCUCAACCUGGGAACGGCAUCCGGAACGGUCAGGCUAGAGUGCAGGAGAGGAAGGUAGAAUUCCCGGUGUAGCGGUGAAAUGCGUAGAGAUCGGGAGGAAUACCAGUGGCGAAGGCGGCCUUCUGGACUGACACUGACGCUGAGGUGCGAAAGCGUGGGUAGCAAACAGGAUUAGAUACCCUGGUAGUC
rnacentral:rRNA from 1 species